rnacentral:rRNA from 1 species
UACGAAGGGGGCGUAGCGUUGUUCGGAAUGACUGGGCGUAAAGGGCGCGUAGGCGGCGAUUUUAGUCAGGCGUGAAAUCCCAGGGCUUAACCCUGGAAGUGCAUCCGGGACUGCUUUGCUCGAGUCCGGAAGAGGAGGGCGGAAUUCCCAGUGUAGAGGUGAAAUUCGUAGAUAUUGGGAAGAACACCAGUGGCGAAGGCGGCUCUCUGGUCCGGUACUGACACUUUAGUGCGAAAGCGUGGGGAGC